AUGACCCACUUGAUCCAUUCACCUCCCCCUGCCCCACCCCCCGGGAUGUGUGUAUUUCCUUCCUGUUGCUUUUCAGGCCUUAGGCCCGGGCCGGGGCGGUGGACACCCUGGGUGACGUUGGAGGAGGCGUCCCCUCCGGGGUCGGGCAGCCCCGCCCCGCCCCCGCUGCGCCCCAGCAUACGUCACGGCCAGCCCCGCUUGCCCCGCACGCUGCAGUCGGAGAAGCAGCUCUUGGUCAGGCCGCCGUGCCGGGCCCAAGCCUGCCUGCGGGCCUCUGCGCCCAGGACCAGGCACCAGUGCCCCUCAAAGGGAACGGAGGGCUGCUGACCACACGCCACAGCCCCGACACUGUGGAGGCCUGGUGGACGGGAGUGACGGGCUCUCAGAUGUCGUCAAGGGAAAGCAGGUGUCUGCCCCGUGGAUGGAAGCUUCCGGCCCCUAAGCUUCGAACCUG
rnacentral:lncRNA from 1 species